UCCUCCUCGCACACUCUUCACGCGUAGACCCCUAUCUCAGUCAUCUCUCCACUCUCAUAUUCACAUCUCCAAGCCAUCUGGCAAAUCCACUCACCGCUCGUCCGUCGUUCCUCCUCACACACUCCCUACCGCCGCUCCGUCGAUUGCCAGCUACGUUGCUCACUAAUGGUCGAUUGCCGCCGUUGGUAAUUUCUUAGUUGCAAUUAGGUUGUAAAUGACGAAAAUUGGAAGCAAGUUCAGCAGCCAAAAUUGAGAUUUCAAACCAUUUCCUUUACAGCAUUGCAAUGCUACUUGAACAAUGUUGCAAUGUUAUUCUUCAUCAAGCCCAGAACGCUUGCACACAGGUUGAUUCCGGUUUUAGUGGCUUUGGUUCGACCAGAUCAGCUGCCUAAGGUCCGAUUCAACCCUAUUUGGUGCAUUGGAGGUCCGGUUCGAGCGAUUUGGAGCCGAUUUGGGUCGAUUCAGGCGGUCUAGUGUCAUUUCAAGACUUGUUUUUUUUUUUUUAUUAUUAUUAUUCUUGUAAUAAUUAGCUUGUUUACUUGUUUAGGAUGCCAAAACUUGUCCAUAUCAAUGUAUGUUUAAUUAUUUA